AAUCACUUGUCUUUUAAAUAAAGACCCGUAUGAAUGGCAAGACGAGGGCUUAACUGUCUCCUUUUUCCAGUCAAUGAAAUUGAUCUUCCCGUGCAGAAGCGGGAAUAAGUCCAUAAGACGAGAAGACCCUGUGGAGCUUUAGACAAUAGACCCGCUCAUGUCAAUCCUCUUAAAUUAAUACCGAGUAAACCAAAUGGCCUCUGUUCUAAUGUCUUCGGUUGGGGCGACCAUGGGGAAUUACAAAACCCCCACGUGGAUUAGGAGCACCAUCUCCCACCCUCCUACAAACCAGAGAAACACCUCUAGUUAACAGAAAUUCUGACCUAAAAUGACCCGGCAACGCCGAUCAACGAACCAAGUUACCCCAGGGAUAACAGCGCAAUCCCCUUUCAGAGCCCAUAUCGACAAGGGGGUUUACGACCUCGAUGUUGGAUCAGGACAUCCUAGUGGUGCAACAGCUACUAA
rnacentral:rRNA from 1 species